UACGUCUAUAGAACGCCUCGCCUUCCCAGCAGAGUUUUAGUUAUAUUUAAUUAUAAAAGUCGCAGCCAUGCCUUCUGAAGCGACUGUUGUUGGGAGAGUGGGUAUGCCGUAGGACUGAUAUUUCCGGUCUGACGGAAGCUUAGGGUAAGAGAGGCAGGUCACAAGAGUAGCUAGGCUUCGAGAUGGAUUUUAGGGACUUCUACAAUAAGACCUAUUUUCCUUCCCAAUUUGCUGGCGUUGUGUUUACCACCUUUCAGGCAAUGCUCGAGGCGGUUUUUGGAAGCCCCCGUGAUUCGAAACCAAGCAGUAUCGCUCUCAGUCGGCUGCGAGACGUGAUCUCGGACAGAGGUCAAAUUGCCAGCCUCCCAAAAUUAGGCCUACCCACGACGCACUGGUGGACACGAACCCCAGACCUGAACAGAGGUCGGACCGCAUUCUUCUACAAGGAUACACAGAAUAUUGCAUAAAGAUUCCCUGAGCCACGUGUCAUGUCUCUGCCCGCAAGUGUUGCAUUACCCAAGUGUAUGAAAACCAGCUAUAACGGCUCAACGGAGCCAUCAUUUACCUUUUCUCCAGCCCAGCACGGGCCUUUUAGUAAAUAAAUAGUUGUUAAGUAA